rnacentral:rRNA from 1 species
UACGUAGGGUGCAAGCGUUGUCCGGAAUUAUUGGGCGUAAAGGGCUCGUAGGCGGUCCAUCGCGUCGGGAGUGAAAAGCUGGGGCUUAACCCCAGUCCUGCUUCCGAUACGGGUGGACUAGAGGUAGGUAGGGGAGAUCGGAAUUCCUGGUGUAGCGGUGAAAUGCGCAGAUAUCAGGAGGAACACCGGUGGCGAAGGCGGGUCUCUGGACAGUUCCUGACGCUGAGGCACGAAGGCCAGGGGGAGCAAACGGGGAUAGAGUACC